rnacentral:rRNA from 1 species
CAGCCUACGGGAGGCAGCAGUGAGGAAUAUUGGUCAAUGGCCGGAAGGCUGAACCAGCCAAGCCGCGUGAGGGAGGAAGGCGCAGAGCGUCGCAGACCUCUUUUGCCGGGGGACAAAAGGCCGGACUCGUCCGGUCCUGAGGGUACCCGGAGAAAAAGCAUCGGCUAACUCCGUGCCAGCAGCGGCGGUAAUAUGGAGGAUGGGAGCGUUAUCUGGAUUCAUUGGGUUUAAAGGGUGCGCAGGCGGGCGUUU